rnacentral:rRNA from 1 species
UGUGGCUGGGGGUGAAAGGCCAAUCAAACCGGGAGAUAGCUGGUUCUCCCCGAAAGCUAUUUAGGUAGCGCCUCGUGAAUUCAUCUUCGGGGGUAGAGCACUGUUUCGGCUAGGGGGUCAUCCCGACUUACCAACCCGAUGCAAACUGCGAAUACCGAAGAAUGUUAUCACGGGAGACACACGGCGGGUGCUAACGUCCGUCGUGAAGAGGGAAACAACCCAGACCGCCAGCUAAGGUCCCAAAGUCAUGGUUAAGUGGGAAACGAUGUGGGAAGGCACAGACAGCCAGGAUGUUGGCUUAGAAGCAGCCAUCAUUUAAAGAAAGCGUAAUAGCUCACUGGUCGAGUCGGCCUGCGCGGAAGAUGUAACGGGGCUAAACCAUGCACCGAAGCUGCGGCAGCGACACUAUGUGUUGUUGGGUAGGGGAGCGUUCUGUAAGCCGUUGAAGGUGGCCUGUGAGGGUUGCUGGAGGUAUCAGAAGUGCGAAUGCUGACAUAAGUAACGAUAAUGCGGGUGAAAAACCCGCACGCCGGAAGACCAAGGGUUCCUGUCCAACGUUAAUCGGGGCAGGGUGAGUCGACCCCUAAGGCGAGGCCGAAAGGCGUAGUCGAUGGGAAACAGGUUAAUAUUCCUGUACUUGGUGUUACUGCGAAGGGGGGACGGAGAAGGCUAUGUUAGCCGGGCGACGGUUGUCCCGGUUUAAGCAUGUAGGCGGAGGUUCCAGGUAAAUCCGGUACCUUUUUAACGCUGAGGUGUGAUGACGAGGCACUACGGUGCUGAAGUAACAAAUGCCCUGCUUCCAGGAAAAGCCUCUAAGCAUCAGGUAACACGAAAUCGUACCCCAAACCGACACAGGUGGUCAGGUAGAGAAUACCAAGGCGCUUGAGAGAACUCGGGUGAAGGAACUAGGCAAAAUGGUGCCGUAACUUCGGGAGAAGGCACGCUGAUAUGUAGGUGAAGUGAUUUACUCAUGGAGCUGAAAUCAGUCGAAGAUACCAGCUGGCUGCAACUGUUUAUUAAAAACACAGCACUGUGCAAACACGAAAGUGGACGUAUACGGUGUGACGCCUGCCCGGUGCUGGAAGGUUAAUUGAUGGGGUCAGCCGCAAGGAGAAGCUCUUGAUCGAAGCCCCAGUAAACGGCGGCCGUAACUAUAACGGUCCUAAGGUAGCGAAAUUCCUUGUCGGGUAAGUUCCGACCUGCACGAAUGGCGUAAUGAUGGCCAGGCUGUCUCCACCCGAGACUCAGUGAAAUUGAACUCGCUGUGAAGAUGCAGUGUACCCGCGGCAAGACGGAAAGACCCCGUGAACCUUUACUAUAGCUUGACACUGAACACUGGUCCUUGAUGUGUAGGAUAGGUGGGAGGCUUUGAAGUGUGGACGCCAGUCUGCAUGGAGCCAUCCUUGAAAUACCACCCUUUAAUGGCUGGUGUUCUAACGUGGGCCCGUAAUCCGGGUUGCGGACAGUGUCUGGUGGGUAGUUUGACUGGGGCGGUCUCCUCCCAAAGAGUAACGGAGGAGCACGAAGGUUAGCUAAUCCUGGUCGGACAUCAGGAGGUUAGUGCAAAGGCAUAAGCUAGCUUGACUGCGAGAGUGACGGCUCGAGCAGGUGCGAAAGCAGGUCUUAGUGAUCCGGUGGUUCUGAAUGGAAGGGCCAUCGCUCAACGGAUAAAAGGUACUCCGGGGAUAACAGGCUGAUACCGCCCAAGAGUUCAUAUCGACGGCGGUGUUUGGCAC